AGAAGGAACGUGACUUCCACGAGGCAGCCGCCGGGCUGGCGGGCCCCACGUUCAGGGUUGUGUCUCGGCUGAAAAAAAGGCACGCCCGAACGCUGGGCAGGGAUUACCCGGCCGGACCCGGGAUUGGAAGGGGGCUCGAAGACGCCUUAGCCCCCCGUGAAGAAAAGGCUUCCCUCCCUCCCAGCUCCAAAUACGGUCCCUGUGAUCUGAGAACAUUACGGCGGGCAUAGAGUCGUCUUUUCUUUAAUGGCCGUGUAGUCGCGGCACAGCCGAGGGUUUCUGGAAUUGCCUUAAACGUAUGCGUUUGAAGAGCGUACCCUUUUGUCGGAGCAGUCACCUUGGAGGGACCACGCAGGCUAUGGCAGCCCGGGUUCAGCAUGUUUAGGGCGAGGGUGUGCUCCAUGGGGACCUGCCUUCUGAUCCGUUUUACCAGGCAUAUAUUUAAAAAAAUGUGUCUUCCUUUCCAAGUAUUCACAUCUUUUUCUACUGACCACAAAUCAGAUUUAAUUCAACUCACAUUUAUUGAACAAGCUAGCCUGUUUUGUUUUUUCACUUUAUUCCUGCAACAGCCACGUGAUAGAGGGAUUACUAUCCACGUUUCACAAACGAUAAAAUUGAGGCUGCCACCUGAUGUUACUGAAGUCCUCCACCCACCUUCUUUCGUUCUUUUUUAAGCGUCUACUAUCGGCUGGGGAUGGAAUAGUUCGCGAGUCAGUUUCUGCCUUCUGAUGGAGGCAGAAAUUUAAACAGCCAACACGGUAAAUACUCCAGAGCUGCAAAACCACGAAGUAUUUUGGGAGUGGAAGCAGGGAGAAGGUGGAGGGCUGACUUUCCGCGCACAGGGUACAGGCGAGAAGAGGUUUCGGUCCCAGAGGUAAAGAGAAAGGGAAGUCCACACUCUGGGUUUAUGGCCUUGAAGUCGAGCAAGCUAUACUAAGAGAACAGAGUAAGUACACCCAGAUACUAUUGUCCCCCUCCUCUUGCCAUUCCUCAAACAUGCCACACCUUGCUCCAGUGGACAAUGGGUACUGGCAUCGUA
rnacentral:lncRNA from 1 species